AUCCACUUGAAGGGCCUGGUAUAGAGUGGACAGGCAUGCUGCCUACGCUAAGCCUGCUGCUAACACACCCCCAGCUCACACCAGGUGGGAGCCAUCCUGUGUCUACCCAUCCCUAGAAAUGGGAGAGUGAAAAUUCCUCCCUUCGGGGCCUGGCCAUAGGUCAAUCUAACAGUUCCACAUCACAAUCCAUCAUCCAUCAAAGGAAGUCAGAGCAGGAACUCAAGGCAGGAACCAGAGAUGGGAACUGAUACAGAGGCCAUGGAAGAUUACUGCUUACUGACUUGCUCCCCAAGGCUUGCUUACCCUGCUCCCCUAUGCA